rnacentral:pre_miRNA from 13 species
ACAAGGGAAAAGGUGAAGCUGCCAGCAUGAUCUAUCUUUGGUUAGAGAAGGAUAGAAGCGAAAGAACUAACCCUAGCUAGGUCAUGCUCUGACAGCCUCACUCCUUCCUAUU